UUACCCCCGCACAUUGACCAUGUAUCGGUACCCCCCUGUACAUUGACUAUGUACCGUUACCCCCACACAUUGACCAUGUACCGGUGCCCCCACGCAUUGACUAUGUAUCGGUACCCCCCUGUACAUUGACUAUGUAUCGGUACCCCCCUGUACAUUGACUAUGUAUCUGUACCCCCCUGUACAUUUCUAUUGUUAUUUCACUGCUGCUCUUUAAUUACUAUUAUUAUUACUUUCAUCUCUUAUUCUUAUCUGUAUUUUUUUAAACUGCAUUGUUGGUUAGAGGCUCGUCAGUAAUGUCUACUACACCUGUUGUAUUCAGCAUUUCACUGUAAGGUCUACUACACCUGUUGUAUUCAGCAUUUCACUGUAAGGUCUACUACACCUGUUGUAUUCAGCAUUUCACUGUAAGGUCUACUACACCUGUUGUAUUCAGCAUUUCACUGUAAGGUCUACUACACCUGUUGUAUUCAGCAUUUCACUGUAAGGUCUACUACACCUGUUGUAUUCAGCAUUUCACUGUAAGGCCUACUACACCUGUUGUAUUCAGCAUUUCACUGUAAGGUCUACUACACCUGUUGUAUUCAGCAUUUCACAGUAAGGUCUACUACACCUGUUGUAUUCAGCAUUUCACCGUAAGGUCUACUACACCUGUUGUAUUCAGCAUUUCACCGUAAGGUCUACUACACCUGUUGUAUUCAGCAUUUCACUGUAAGGUCUACUACACCUGUUGUAUUCAGCAUUUCACUGUAAGGUCUACUACACCUGUUGUAUUCAGCAUUUCACUGUAAGGUCUACUACACCUGUUGUAUUCAGCAUUUCACGGUAAGGUCUACUACACCUGUUGUAUUCAGCAUUUCACUGUAAGGUCUACUACACCUGUUGUAUUCAGCAUUUCACUGUAAGGUCUACUACACCUGUUGUAUUCAGCAUUUCACUGUAAGGUCUACUACACCUGUUGUAUUCAGCAUUUCACUGUAAGGUCUACUACACCUGUUGUAUUCAGCAUUUCACUGUAAGGUCUACUACACCUGUUGUAUUCAGCAUUUCACGGUAAGGUCUACUACACCUGUUGUAUUCAGCAUUUCACUGUAAGGUCUACUACACCUGUUGUAUUCAGCAUUUCACUGUUAGGUCUACUACACCUGUUGUAUUCAGCAUUUCACAGUAAGGUCUACUACACCUGUUGUAUUCAGCAUUUCACUGUAAGGUCUACUACACCUGUUGUAUUCAGCAUUUCACCGUAAGGUCUACUACACCUGUUGUAUUCAGCAUUUCACUGUAAUGUCUACUACACCUGUUGUAUUCAGCAUUUCACUGUCAGGUCUACUACAC